rnacentral:rRNA from 1 species
UUUUAAUAAUUAUAAUAUUUGAUAAAAUAUUAUAAUUAUUUAGUUGGGGUGAUUAUAAAAUUAAUUAAACUUUUAUAUUUUUUAACAUUGAUUUAUGAAAAAAUUGUAUUUGUUAUAUAUAAUAAAUGAGAUUAAAU